GAUGAACGCUGGCGGCGUGCCUAACACAUGCAAGUCGAGCGAGAUUUAUGUGAGUGGAGACUUCGGUCAAAGCAAUCAUAAUGAAAGCGGCGGACGGGUGAGUAACGCGUGAGCAAUCUGCCCCAUACAAAGGGAUACCCACUGGAAACGGUGAUUAAUACCUUAUAAGACCACGAAGUCGCAUGGCUACGGGGUCAAAGAUUUAUCGGUAUGGGAUGAGCUCGCGUCUGAUUAGCUAGUUGGUGAGGUAAUGGCUCACCAAGGCGACGAUCAGUAGCCGACCUGAGAGGGUGAACGGCCACACUGGAACUGAGACACGGUCCAGACUCCUACGGGAGGCAGCAGUGGGGAAUAUUGCACAAUGGGCGCAAGCCUGAUGCAGCAACGCCGCGUGAAUGAUGAAGGCCUUCGGGUCGUAAGGUUCUGUCCAAAGGGAAGAAUACAGUGACGGUACCUUUGGAGGAAGCCCCGGCUAACUACGUGCCAGCCGCCGCCGUAAAAC
rnacentral:rRNA from 1 species